UACGAGAGGCCCCAAACGUUAUUCGGAUUUACUGGGCUUAAAGAGUUCGUAGGCGGUUCGGUAAGUGAGGUGUGAAAGCCCUCGGCUCAACCGAGGAAUUGCGCUUCAAACUGCCGGGCUCGAGGGAGAUAGAGGUGAGCGGAACUGAUGGUGGAGCGGUGAAAUGCGUUGAUAUCAUCAGGAACACCAGAGGCGAAGGCGGCUCACUGGGUCUCUUCUGACGCUGAGGAACGAAAGCUAGGGGAGCAAACGGG
rnacentral:rRNA from 1 species